AGCUUGGAACAGAUAUGAUAAUGGUGGAGGAAGAUAUAUAGCCUGUAUUGCUGCAAUGCCAACUGUUUGCAUCUGCACCUGCACCGAUCAUAUGCUUUUCUUCGAUGCAGAUGCAGAUACAAACAGAUAACACUGUGGCCUUCUCAUUAUAAUCUUUCUAUGGUUCUUAAUUGAAAAAUUUCCUGUGGUGCUUUGUGUUGUUCAAUCUUGUUCUGGCUGCAUCACCUGUAGAAAUCCGUGCCUUUUACUUGGCAGAUAAGUAUAAAAUGUAUUGCGUGGAUUCAAUGUAUGUGACAUUAUCAGGCAAAGUAGUAUGAAGGAUGUUUUCCUAAAAUAGAGAAUUUGUUAGAGAUAUCAGAUUUCCAUAGUUUAUGAUAUUGAACUUUUUUAAGCUUUGGGUUUUGAUUGUGUUGAUUCUUUUCAUCAGAAUGUAGAAAAUUAUAUAUUAUGAAUUGGGUAGAGGGUACUGCUUAAAGUACUGGCCUUCAAUCGAUUCUAGGACUUUUGGGUCCAUUUUAACCGAGUUAAAGAACAGAAAACAAAGCUUAUUUUGAAGUUUCUAUCAAAGCAGCUUUUUCAGUCCAUGGACUUUAUUCAACUUCAGUCUUAUUGGAGCUUUUGAUACAUAAAUAUAUAGCUUGUUGCUGCUCAUAGUAUCAUUGAAUGCAUUGCUUUGGUUUAUUAAUCUCCUGUAUUUUUAUAUAUGUUUGCUUGCUUUCACCAUUGGUUUUAUUUCAUUUUCUUUAAUCUCAUCUACCCCUUAACAGAACAAUUUGUUUGGUAUAGGCGCUUAAGCUUUGUGAAUCUUAUCUUAUGCAUUACCAACGCCAGCAUAUUUUGGCCUUUUUUCAGUAGUUUCCUGUCUUUGGAUGCCUGUACGUCAGCACAUUCUCAUUCUGGGCAUAGAGUUCUCAAAUUUGGGACCUUUUUCACUAGAAUACUGAAUCUUUGCUGCUAUUUUUUUAUUGGUUAAGCAUACUACUGGAUCUUUAACACUGAUAUGUGAUUAAAACUGUUUUGGUUUGAGUGGCUUAAUCAAACAAAUUCUGCUUGGCUUUUUAAUUUCACUUGGGUUACUACAAAACAAAGUUCGAAUGGUGAAAGCUAUUUAGAAUAUUUCUAGUAUCUUCUCUUUUAGCUUUUUAAAGUGUUUAAUAGUUAAAAGAUGUUUAUUUUUUUCAAUAAAAAUAAGAUCCGUCGGCAAAAGAAGUGGACAGUCAAAUCAAUAAUAUCGUUAUUUUAAUAAGAUAUCAUUAACCAUUAAAUUAUUGAAUGAACGAAUGAAUUUUCCAUCAGUUUAUGAGACCAUUUGAUAGUGAAGUAAUAGGCAUCUUUACUACAUAACAUUGGAUAACCCUAAAAGCUAUAUAGCUUGUUUACCCUUUUGUUUGUUUAUUCCUGCCUCAUUAGCCUGACCAGUUGGAAAUGAUUAGAAUUGACAAUUUAAAUUUUAGAGUGGUCCAUAUAGACACCAUUGGUUCUUUUGACCUGCCCCAUGCUGUAGAUAAGUGACAACAUCAAGCCUCUAAUUAAUCCUGGUGGUGAAUGAUAAAUAUCAUGUUGUAUCUUUUCAUGAUUAUAUGUCCAUUGUUUGGGUGAAAAAUUUACUGCUUUUCUUGACUAAGUAAUUCUUUGAAUAAAUGCUUCUGGCUUUUUCUGUUUCUGUCUACUGUAAGCUGUACUGGUACAGCCUCAUUGACCCAUUUAAUCAAUCUGUGGAAGUUAACAGACUUUCCUCCUUCCUGUAGGUCAUGAGGCUAAAUUGGAAAAGGACUUUGUGGAGAUAUUCAGAAGAGGCUUAGUUGUAAAAGUACACACGUUAUGAACGCUGCAAAUGCAUUGUUAAGAGGUUUGUUCAUUAUUUCACAAGGCCAACCUUCAAUUUGCAAACAGAAUUGAUUGUCAGAAAUACAGUCAAUCAAUGUACUUUUUAUAUUUGUGUCAUGGAAUUGCUAGGAGGAAAACAGGUUAUCACUGCAAUCCAAAUAAGAGUUUAGUAAAUUAAAGAUACCCUCCUAACUUGUAGCAUAGAGGCCAACUCUGAAAUUGUCUUUUAUUAAUUUGGGUUGUAAGCAUUAAGUUCUUUAAGAAGUAUUGUUCUGUCAGCACUGUAAGUAAUCUAUUAUGACUGAACUUUCUACCUCUAAUACGUAAGUGAAGUGUGUUUAUAUUUGGGUAUGA